GACGUAGGGUGCGAGCGUUGUCCGGAUUUAUUGGGCGUAAAGAGCUCGUAGGCGGCUUGUCGCGUCGACCGUGAAAACUUGGGGCUCAACCCCAAGCCUGCGGUCGAUACGGGCAGGCUAGAGUUCGGUAGGGGAGACUGGAAUUCCUGGUGUAGCGGUGAAAUGCGCAGAUAUCAGGAGGAACACCGGUGGCGAAGGCGGGUCUCUGGGCCGAUACUGACGCUAAGGAGCGAAAGCGUGGGGAGCGAACAGG
rnacentral:rRNA from 1 species